GCACCAACCAUCUCUGCUACUUCUUUCUGAGCUUUAUAUUUCUUCGUGAUAUAUCUGUACACAUUUAACAGUAUAGGGAGGGUAUUGCAGGGGUAGUGAGGGUAUCGCAGGUAUAGGGAGGGUAUUGCAGGGGUAGUGAGGGUAUUGCGGGGUUAGGGAGGGUAUUACCGGGUAGUGAGGGUAUCACAGGUAUAGGGAGGGUAUUGCAGGGUUAGUGAGGGUAUUACUGGGGUAGUGAGGGUAUUACUGGGGUAGUGAGGGUAUUACUGGGGUAGUGAGGGUAUUACUGGGGUAGUGUGGGUAUUCCCAGGGUAGUAAGGGUAUUGCAGGUGUAGUGAGGGUAUUGCUGGGGUAGUGAGGGUAUUACCAGGGUAGUAAGGGUAUUACUGGGGUAGUGAGGGUAUUACU
ensembl:lncRNA